rnacentral:rRNA from 1 species
AACGUACGCUGGCGGCACGCUUAACACAUGCAAGUCGAACGAAGUAGCAAUACUUAGUGGCAGACGGGUGAGUAACAUGUGGGUAUCUGCCCUUUGGCCUGGAAUAACACGAGGAAACUUGUGCUAAUACUGGAUAAGUCUUUACGGAGAAAGCUUUAUGCACCAUUGGAUGAGCCCGCACUUGAUUAGUUUGUUGGUGGGGUAAUGGCCUACCAAGACUGUGAUCAAUAGCUGAUUUGAGAGGAUGAUCAGCCACAUUGGGACUGAGACACGGCCCAAACUCCUACGGGAGGCAGCAGUGGGGAAUCUUGCACAAUGGAGGAAACUCUGAUGCAGCGAUGCCGCGUGAGUGAAGAAGGCCCUUGGGUUGUAAAGCUCUUUCGUCGGGGAAGAAAAUGACUGUACCCGAAUAAGAAGGUCCGGCUAACUUCGUGCCAGCAGCCGCGGUAAUACGAAGGGACCUAGCGUAGUUCGGAAUUACUGGGCUUAAAGAGUUCGUAGGUGGUUGAAAAAGUUAGUGGUGAAAUCCCAGAGCUUAACUCUGGAACUGCCAUUAAAACUUUUCAGCUAGAGUAUGAUAGAGGAAAGCAGAAUUUCUAGUGUAGAGGUGAAAUUCGUAGAUAUUAGAAAGAAUACCAAUUGCGAAGGCAGCUUUCUGGAUCAUUACUGACACUGAGGAACGAAAGCAUGGGUAGCGAAGAGGAUUAGAUACCCUCGUAGUCCAUGCCGUAAACGAUGUGUGUUAGACGUUGGAAAUUUAUUUUCAGUGUCGCAGCGAAAGCGAUAAACACACCGCCUGGGGAGUACGACCGCAAGGUUAAAACUCAAAUGAAUUGACGGGGACCCGCACAAGUAGUGGAGCAUGUGGUUUAAUUCGAAGAUACGCGCAGAACCUUACCAACACUUGACAUGUUCGUCGCGACUCUAAGAGAUUAGAGUUUUCGGUUCAGCCGGACGAAACACAGGUGCUGCAUGGCUGUCGUCAGCUCGUGUCGUGAGAUGUUGGGUUAAGUCCCGCAACGAGCGCAACCCUCACUUUUAGUUGCCAUCAUUAAGUUGGGCACUCUGAAAGAACUGCCAGUGAUAAGCUGGAGGAAGGUGGGGAUGACGUCAAGUCCUCAUGGCCCUUACGUGUUGGGCUACACACGUGCUACAAUGGUAUCUACAACAGGAAGCAAGACUGCGAGGUCAAGCAAAUCCUUAAAAGAUACCUCAGUUCGGAUUGCACUCUGCAACUCGAGUGCAUGAAGCUGGAAUUACUAGUAAUCGUGGAUCAGCGUGCCACGGUGAAUGCGUUCCCGGGUCU